UAUUUGGUUCCUUAAGAAGGAAGAAAAUGGGUAAUGGAAACUGUCAAUUAUGCUUGGCGUAUGCACAAGUGUAGGACAAAAAAGAAGCAUUUUUAUGCAUUUGAUACUGAUGAACAAAGAAUGAUAGAACGUCCAAAGACAAUGCCAAAAACUCAUUUUGAAGAUCUGUUGAAGUAUUGGCAUUUGACAACAACUGAGGAAGAAAGUCAGACCAACAAAAAGAAUCGUCAAAAGGCAGAAGACAUCCAUACUAUGGGUCCAAAAUCAUAUGCCAGAAACAAGAGGACCCUAACAAAAAAGAACCCUCUCAAGCAAAGGUGUACAAAGAAUCAAGGAAAAGGAAUCCCAAUAAGACAUACAAAACCAGCUUUGGGAAAACGAAGAAUAAUAUAGAACAAAUUGAAGCUUUGGAAUCUCAAGAACAUGAACAUGGCCCUAACACUAUUGAUCCAUACUAUCAAGUGAUUAAAAAACCAGAGCAUAAUGGUCGUGUACGCCUCUAUGGGAAAGGUGUGACCAUGACUGAUUUGAAGAAGAAAAAAGGAUCUAAUCCAAGAAAUGCAACUAACGACACAUUACAAGUGAAUGAGGCCGCUGGUGAUGAGCAUUCUUCUCCUAGAACAGAACCUUCUAAUCAGAUUAUUGAAGAAAAUUUGGAUUAGAGAAGGAUGCAUGAAUUAUAACAUUUUGGUGGUGGCAUAUCUUGUAUAAAUUGUCAUGUGUAGUGACAGUUUUUGUGGCCGUAAAUAUCAUUGUGAUCACAAAUCAAACAUCUGUUUUGGUAAAUGUUUUUGUGAUCUAACUAAUGUAAAUUGUGACUUGCUUUUA